UACGUAGGGUGCAAGCGUUAAUCGGAAUUAUUGGGCGUAAAGCGUGCGUAGGCGGUUUGUUAAGUCCGUUGUGAAAGCCCCGAGCUCAACUUGGGAAUUGCAGUGGAUACUGGCAGGCUGGAGUACGGUAGAGGAAGGUGGAAUUCCCGGUGUAGCAGUGAAAUGCGUAGAUAUCGGGAGGAACACCAGUGGCGAAGGCGGCCUUCUGGGCCAGUACUGACGCUCAUGCACGAAAGCGUGGGGAGCAAACAGG
rnacentral:rRNA from 1 species